UACGGGGGGAGCAAGCGUUGUUCGGAUUUAUUGGGCGUAAAGGGCGCGUAGGCGGCUUGGCAAGUGGAUGGUGAAAUCCCUCGGCUUAACCGAGGAACUGCCGUCCAAACUGCUUCGCUUGAGACCGGGAGAGGUGAGUGGAAUUCCCAGUGUAGCGGUGAAAUGCGUAGAUAUUGGGAGGAACACCAGUGGCGAAGGCGGCUCACUGGACCGGUACUGACGCUGAUGCGCGAAAGCGUGGGGAGCAAACGGG
rnacentral:rRNA from 1 species